AAGCCACAAGCAGACCAGCCUCUCAACAUGUGCUACUUCUAGUUGAGCAUCAUUUCAGAUUGAGCAUCGCCUCAUAUCGAGUAUCAGUUGAAGACGACAUCUAGUUACGUCGGCCCACACAUGGACUGUGUUUAUACCAUAUUUAGGGCCUCGUAUUUAGAUCUCGUACAAAUACUUGGGGGCUUAAAUGUAAUUAUGUAAUAAAGGAAAGGGCAAAUAUGUAAUAAGUGAGGAAUCCUUAUUCUAUAAAAGGACCCCUCACCCUCACAAUGAGAGGAGGCCAAUUCCUAAGGCUCCACACCCUCUCAAAGCUCUCACUUUCAUUCAGAGCUCUCUUUUCCUCAUAAAUAUAAUCAGUGUGGACGUAGCCCAAACCUUGUGUGAACCACGAUACAUCUUGUGUUAUUUACAUUACAUGCAGAUUCACGGUCGGAUUUACGUUGUUUCAAGACCUUUGGUUUUGUGCAUCAACAUUUGGUGCCGUCUGUGGGAAUCGACACGAAAAGUUAUGUCGGUUCUCUUUCAUUUUUUUCAGCUCCACCGUGAAUCCGCAGAAACCCAAGAACCCAGAAAACCUUCGUAGACUCUGCAGUUUUAAGAAACCAUCCAAAAACCCAUUUUCCAUCUUUCUAUCUUGUUUCUGGGGUUGUGUGCUUUUUAGUCAUUGAGAUCUGCAUCAAGAUGGGUUGUCCUAUUUUCGUCAUUGGCUU
rnacentral:lncRNA from 1 species